ensembl:lncRNA
GCGCAAAAAAGCUGUUUCACGCACUGGCUUGGAUUUAAAUAAUAAUUUUUCAUGUCAAGAGUGUGACCGUUUAUUGUUCAAUUGUUCAGUUAAAGGCUGUAGAGAAAACACAAUGAGAAAGACUACGUGUCUCGUAUGUGACGCUACACUCCCUGCGACUGGCAUGGACAAGACUGACAAUCUCCCCAUCGGCAUAACUGAAACUCUCCACAUGCCCCGACUUAUAAUGGAUUAACCUCUUUCGAUGCUGUUAUCCUCCCCUUGGAAAAAAGUGGUGAAGUGGAGUAGAGGGAUCGCCAUGUCUGUACCAUAGACCUAUUAAAGAAGUUCCCAUGGGGUCUACCGGAAGGGGCGGGACUUCCCGGCGCAUAUCUGCGAAAUGCAACGCUUCUAAAUGGCUGAGAGAUGCAGGGCGGGAGCAGAGGGAGAAUCUACCUUACCUACAGCCGUGGCUGGAGUGGGACCCACUUUCAGCCUCGGAGUUACAUGAUGCAGAUAGGCCCAGCCCAAUUGGGGGGAGCGGAACAGGGGGAGGGCUUUUGCUAUGUUCAAGCAAAUGAACUGAUUUAUGAAACCCUGUAAUGGACCCAAUUGAAAAAUCAACUUAAGAACCCAUUGUUGUUUCUCAAAAAAAAGGGAAGUGAAAAAGUGAACUCUGGUGCCUACAUUUGUCCUGUAAUUACCUGCAAUAUUACAACUUGCUCCUAGAAACUGCAUCCUAUCCUUUGUUGCACUCUUUGCAGUGUGCACACCAGUAGCUGUGUUUCCUCUGCUACCUCCUAGCCCUGUCUCAGCAUCACUGGGCUGACUCAGUUCCAUGGCUGCAAAAAUGAAAGCAUUCUGUGUCUGCAUACAUGCUACCCACAUACAACAUUUGUACUGAUAAAUCAUGCUGAUACUGAUGGUUAACUGCUUUUUCUAAAAACAGACAAUUAUCAACCUCCUCAUUGCCUACUCCCAAUUAUUGGUAAUAGUGCGAUGGCUAAGCUGGCCAGAUAGUGAUAAAAUAAAAAAAGCUUUGUUUGAAAUGUGACAUAAUCAUUACACUCUGCAUGUUGGCAACUAAUGCUAAAUUCCAAGCUCCCUCCUUAACUCCUAGAAUUUCUCACUCCUUUUCGGAUAGGUUUACAUUAAUGUUUAUUUUUAUUUAUUUUUGCUUUUUAUUUUUACUCUUACUAUUAUUAUUUUUGUUUUUGUUAUUCAUUCUUGAAUGGCUUUAUUGUUGUAAUUGGCAAAAUUUGUUGUUUUUGUUUUGUCUACAUAUUCAAAAUAAACAUGAAAGAAAGAACUCCUAGAAUUUCACCUG